UACGUAGGUGGCAAGCGUUGUCCGGAAUUAUUGGGCGUAAAGCGCGCGCAGGCGGUCCUUUAAGUCUGAUGUGAAAGCCCACGGCUCAACCGUGGAGGGUCAUUGGAAACUGGGGGACUUGAGUGCAGAAGAGGAAAGCGGAAUUCCACGUGUAGCGGUGAAAUGCGUGGAGAUGUGGAGGAACACCAGUGGCGAAGGCGGCUUUCUGGUCUGUAACUGACGCUGAGGCGCGAAAGCGUGGGGAGCAAACAGG
rnacentral:rRNA from 1 species